CUUUACAGCCAUACCACCCUGAACAUGCCAAUCUCAUCUGAUCUUGGAAGCUAAGCAGGGUUGGGCCCAUUUAGUACUUGGAUGGGAGACUCCUCCUAUACCUCCAUAAAAUAAACA
rnacentral:rRNA from 1 species